CGCUGGCGGCAUGCCUAACACAUGCAAGUCGAACGAGACCUUCGGGUCUAGUGGCGCACGGGUGCGUAACGCGUGGGAAUCUGCCCUAGGGUGCGGAAUAACUCGGAGAAAUCCGUGCUAAUACCGCAUAAUGUCUUCGGACCAAAGAUUUAUCGCCCUGGGAUGAGCCCGCGUAGGAUUAGCUAGUUGGUGGGGUAAAGGCCUACCAAGGCGACGAUCCUUAGCUGGUCUGAGAGGAUGAUCAGCCACACUGGGACUGAGACACGGCCCAGACUCCUACGGGAGGCAGCAGUGGGGAAUAUUGGACAAUGGGCGAAAGCCUGAUCCAGCAAUGCCGCGUGAGUGAUGAAGGCCCUAGGGUUGUAAAGCUCUUUUACCCGGGAUGAUAAUGACAGUACCGGGAGAAUAAGCUCCGGCUAACUCCGUG
rnacentral:rRNA from 1 species